AAAUUCCAUUUUCCAACAGGUUCAGUCUGCCACUUGAUGACGCACCGAACGUGUGGAGCUCCUCCCAUUUGAUUUGGAUUCCCAAAAGAAUUCUCGUCAAGGGCGCCAACACAUGAAACAUUGAAACUACUUCCGAGAAUAACUGCAUCUACAUUUACAUCUACAUCUGGUAGUAUUUGUCAACGUCUCCUCAACAGCAUGGCUACCAGCUACCUCAUCAAAUCUUCCAGCUCAGCUCAGACGUGCACCAAUAAGGUGAAGAAGAAUGUUUC
rnacentral:misc_RNA from 1 species